AGCCAUCACCAGCAGAAGCAUGUGGAAAGUAAAGGAUGGACUACACAGUGGAGAAGCAUCUUCUUUACCAGCUCUUGGGCUGACCAAGCUACUACUACCCAUGGGUCCUUCAUCAUCGCACCGGGCGGGUAAUUAGCGAAGCUAAAAACUGCUAUCCGAGAAUGCAACAUCUCAGCUGUCAUCCUGCUGGAGUGUGUGUGGGGGAAAAGUUACUUUGUAAAAUGAGAGCCCAGCGGUGCCGUUGUA